GUGGGGAAUAUUGCGCAAUGGGCGAAAGCCUGACGCAGCGACGCCGCGUGAGGGAUGAAGGUUUUCGGAUCGUAAACCUCUGUCAGAAGGGAAGAAACUACGUUGUGCUAAUCAGCAGCGUACUGACGGUACCUUCAAAGGAAGCACCGGCUAACUCCGUGCCAGCAGCCGCGGUAAUACGGAGGGUGCAAGCGUUAAUCGGAAUUACUGGGCGUAAAGCGCACGUAGGCUGUAGUGUAAGUCAGGGGUGAAAUCCCACGGCUCAACCGUGGAACUGCCUUUGAUACUGCACAACUUGAAUCCGGGAGAGGGUGGCGGAAUUCCAGGUGUAGGAGUGAAAUCCGUAGAUAUCUGGAGGAACAUCAGUGGCGAAGGCGGCCACCUGGACCGGUAUUGACGCUGAGAUGCGAAAGCGUGGGGAGCAAACAGGAUUAGAUACCCCUGUAGUCC
rnacentral:rRNA from 1 species